UGACCUCUAAAUAGCUCGUACCGCCCCGGCGGUAUUGCGGCUUCUUAGUGGGACUAUCGGCUCAAGCCGAUGGAAGUUCGAGGCAAUAACAGGUCUGUGAUGCCCUUAGAUGUCCUGGGCCGCACGCGCGUUACACUGACGGAGCCAGCGAGUUCUUUCCUUGGCCGAAAGGCCCGGGUAAUCUUGUGAAACUCCGUCGUGAUGGGGAUAGAGCAUUGCAAUUGUUGCUCUUCAACGAGGAAUCCCUAGUAAGCGCAAGUCAUCAGCUUGCGUUGAUUACGUCCCUGCCCUUUGUACACACCGCCCGUCGCU
rnacentral:rRNA from 1 species